rnacentral:rRNA from 1 species
UACGUAGGGACCAAGCGUUGUUCGGAUUUACCGGGCGUAAAGGGCGCGUAGGCGGCUUGUCAAGUCACUUGUGAAAUCUCUGGGCUUAACCCAGAACGGCCAAGUGAAACUGACAUGCUAGAGUGCAGAAGGGGCAAUCGGAAUUCUUGGUGUAGCGGUGAAAUGCGUAGAUAUCAAGAGGAACACCUGAGGUGAAGACGGGUUGCUGGGCUGACACUGACGCUGAGACGCGAAAGCCAGGGGAGCAAACGGG